AGCAGCCGCCACGGGAAUACAGAGGGUGCGAGCGUUAAUCGGAUUUACUGGGCGUAAAGCGUGCGUAGGCGGCUUCUUAAGUCGGAUGUGAAAUCCCUGAGCUUAACUUAGGAAUUGCAUUCGAUACUGGGAAGCUAGAGUAUGGGAGAGGAUGGUAGAAUUCCAGGUGUAGCGGUGAAAUGCGUAGAGAUCUGGAGGAAUACCGAUGGCGAAGGCAGCCAUCUGGCCUAAUACUGACGCUGAGGUACGAAAGCAUGGGGAGCAAACAGGAUUAGAGACCCCAGUAGUCCCUGUCUCUUAUAC
rnacentral:rRNA from 1 species